GAUGCUCAAAUAUAUUUGUGGAAAUGGAAUACUCGUAUAAUGAUAUUAUAUGUAGAUGGAACAAUUACAAAGUGAGGAUAUAUCUUAUUGAAAAGGAAACAAUUUUGCAAAUAAAUAUAUACUGUACUCUGACAAAAUUAUGGUUACUAUUUAUUCUUAUAGUAGUUUCUUUCCUUUUCACUGCUAAUUUGAUAUAGCAAAUAAAUCAUACUUGGUAUCUUCUGUAUUUUUCUUUUUUGUAAAGUUUCAUAUUCUUUAGUCUACUUUAUAGUUUUCUAUCUGUUUCCGGAUUUCAUUGGUUGGUAUCCGAAGGAUAGAGGUUUUGUGCAUGUUGUUGAGAGGCUUGGUGGACAAGAAAGUAAGUGCAACUCUCUUCAAGCAUAUACUGUUUUUUUUUUUCUUUUUUAUGUACAAUGAAGACAAUGUGUUUGAACUGAAAACCUUAACUCAAACUUUGACUACUUGUGUUGUGUUACAUAAGGUUACUAAUGUUUGUUCUUUUUAAUUUCUGAAAGAUUUUUUGCAAACAUUCCAUAAUCUUACAUUUUCUUUGAUAAUUUUGUGUACUGGAGCAACGCCCAAGUUGGUUCUCCAGUUGAUGAAUGUGAGAGGACUUAGCAUUGCACAUGUAAAGAGCCAUUUACAAGUAUAAAUAUACAACAUUUGUUGCUUUAUUCUACCCCAGCGCGAGAAACAUUCCACCCUUACGAUUAAAUUUAUCUUAAUGUCAAAAAGUGAUUGUUGACCAAUUUUACAUGCAUGAAACACUGUUACCAUGACAUCUUCACAAGGCACGCUCUUCAAUGAACAAGUAGUCGCAAUCAAAAGGUUAUGUAGCAACUCUGGCCAAGGAGAUAUUGAGUUCAAGAAUCUGUUAAUGUCAAGGCUUUAGCACAGAAGUUUAGUUAAGCUCCUUGGUUUCUGUUUUGAAAGAGAAGAACGGCUCCUUUUCUACGAGUUUCUUCCCAACAAAAGUCUUGACAACCACAUAUUUGGCCUUUCUCCAGGCCCUUAGUUCUCUAGCUUUUCAUCUGGAGCACUUUAGGCUACCAUAAGUUUCAGAAUUUUCAGGAGCAACCAAAUCAGUUUACGGCCCUGAGCCUUUUGAUGUUGGACAUGUAUUGCAAGCUGAUGUUAUUUCAGAAAGUGAGCAUGUCACAGUUUCAACUGCUGGUCCAAUAGAUCCAGCUGCUGGUUUGGAAACCUAUGUUGAGGCACUUGUGCGCAAACAUGAUACUGAAUUUAACUUGUAACUCAAAUGAAUGGUUCACCCCCAACUGAAUCUAUUCAUGUGCUUAAUGUUGGAAAGAUGAGGAUAAAACUCUGCAAAGGAAAGACCACAAUUGCCAAAGAAUACUAUUCAAGUUCAAUGCAUCUUUGUGGUGUUAGAGGGGGUGGACAUGCAGCAGCACAGGGAGGUUUUUGGCAGCCAAAGCAAGGACAUUCUUUUGUAUUAGCUUUUGAAUCAAAGAGAGAAAGGAAUGCUGCCAUCAUGCUUGCAAGCAGAUUUGCAUUUGACUGUACUGAGAGGGAAAAGAGAAGUAAAUGAAUUAUAAAGGAUUGUAUACUUUAUGCUCUGAAUUUAUGAAUGGUUAAAAUUAUACAUUUUGUUUUUUUUAUCUUUUUAUGAAUGUUAUAGGAAAAUUAUAAAUAAAUAAAUUUUAAAAUUUUGCCUUUUAUA